rnacentral:rRNA from 1 species
GGUUGACCUCGGAUCAGGUAGGAGUUACCCGCUGAACUUAAGCAUAUCAAUAAGCGGAGGAAAAGAAACCAACAGGGAUUGCCUCAGUAACGGCGAGUGAAGCGGCAAGAGCUCAAAUUUGAAAUCUGGCCUCUUUGGGGUCCGAGUUGUAAUUUGCAGAGGAUGCUUCGGGAGUGGUCCCCAUCUAAGUGCCCUGGAACGGGACGUCAUAGAGGGUGAGAAUCCCGUAUGGGAUGGGUGGCCGCGCCCGUGUGAAGCGCCUUCGACGAGUCGAGUUGUUUGGGAAUGCAGCUCUAAGCGGGUGGUAAAUUUCAUCUAAAGCUAAAUACUGGCCGGAGACCGAUAGCGCACAAGUAGAGUGAUCGAAAGAUGAAAAGCACUUUGAAAAGAGAGUUAAAUAGCACGUGAAAUUGUUGAAAGGGAAGCGUUGUCCACCAGACUCGCCCGGGAGGGUUCAGCUGGCACUUGUGCCGGUGUACUCCCUUUCGGGCGGGCCAGCAUCGGUUUGGGCGGCCGCUAAAAGGCCUCGGGAAUGUAGCACCCUCCGGGGUGCCUUAUAGCCCGGGGUGACAUGCGACCUGCCUGGACCGAGGUUCGCGCUUCGGCGAGGAUGCUGGCGUAAUGGUGGUCAACGGCC